rnacentral:lncRNA from 1 species
UGCUUUGAGAUCUCUUUGCUUUCUUGGCUGAUGUCCCAUGUCUUCUUAUCUGAGUAUUUUCUUCCCAGUUUGCUGCUGUAUACCAUCAUCCUUGACAAACAGCCUCUUCCUCAUUUUUGCUUGAGAACUUUGGCCUUCAUCCCAUCAUCAGUUUUUCUCCAUAUGUAGCUUUGUGGGUCUCACUUGCAUUUUGCCAUAUUCAUUAAAUCUCUAUAUUAGCAGAAAUCAUCUUGGUAAACUGUUAAGGAUUUCAGAUGUUUUUAAAGCAGCAAUUUUCAAUACGUAGAACCAAAUUUACAAGUAUACAAUGUAUAACAGUUGUUUAAAGGUAAGGUAGACCAAGCUAAAAAACUGUUUAUGUGCAAAGGCUUCCAGGAAAAAACAUAUAGAGGCCAUGUUUUGUUUGUUUAUUUGCUUGUUUGUUUUAAAAAUCUUAAUUAUGGAUUCUGCUAAAACUAGUUAUGUGACUAUAGGCAUAUUAGCCUCUUGAAGUUUCUGUCAGUCCCCUUAGAGAAUGGAAAUGUGCACGCCAUCCUGUGUGUGUGUGUGUGUGUGUGUGUGUGUCUGUGUCUGUGUGUGUGUGUCUGUGUGUGUGGUGCGGCAGCUCGCCACUUCUCGAGGUUCCUUCUACUGUGGCCUGGUUGCAGGCUGGUUGGCGAGCCUGGCAAUAAUUUCUCCAGGAUUGAACUACAGCUGCCUGGUGUCUGCUUGCUGGAAGGACUGGACUGUAGCUGCCAGUUCGCAUUUGGUAUCUGCUUGCCUAGAGGACUGGUCUGCAACUGCUGAGUUGUAUUUGGUGUUUGCUACAGGACCAAACUGCUGCCAAAGAAGCUCAACCUCACCCCCAAAGAACUCUUAUGAACAGGCCCACUUCCCCCAUAUCCUAAUAACGUUUCUCUUCCAUUACCUCUGCUGGGCGGUGGGCGAGAGGAGAGGUUGAACCCUUAUUGAAGUAGGUUGCAAAAAUAUAUGCCUACAGAUUUCUCAUUUGGUUUACGUUUGGUUCUGUUUUGCUUUUUCCCUAGCCACUUGACGUUUCCACGUGUCACAGCUCUGACCUCAGCAACUGAAGUCAGAAAGAAGGCAAAGAUUGCAAGGCAGACAAAGCAAGGGUUGAGGCGGGUAGCAAACAGAAGCACAUUGUCAUGGCAAAUAUCUGCCUAGCGUGUAUGCAGAUCUAAGACCAUGGCCUAAAUCACACCAUACCAAGGAGAAACCACUGCCUGUGCACAUGUCAGUGUGCAGUGAUAAUCUUUCUAGAAAGUUCUGGCUUCCUGCCGCGGUCGCUUUACUCCAGGAAAUUGUGACGUCCCGAUUGUUCCUCCAAAGCUUUGAGAACAGCCAGGUGACUGCCUUGCCCCAAGCAUUAUACCUGUAGCGAGGAUAAAUUGCGCAUCUUUCCCGAGUUUGAUCUUUGAGCUAGCCCAACUUUUAUUAGGUUUCAACCUCUCAAAUUGAAAUCUUGUGGUGGAACCUGUCUAGGAAGUUUGACGUUUCUAACCACAGUUUAACCACAUUCUUUGCUCUCACCUCCUGACCUUUCGACCAGGAAAGAGAGCCACCAGUUGCUGGUGCUCCCUCCCACACCUAGUUAGCUGGGUCCUGGAGGCAUCUUCCCAGCGGGGCAUCUCUGAGCUUGGUGGCUCUGCACUGGCAGUGGGCCCUGCUCAGCAAAGAAAGAACAAUAUGGACUCUGUUCUCAAUUAGUGUGUAACCCUCGGGGCAGGCACAGGCUCACUCCUGCUCCCCUGUACUUUAAUGGCCUAGUCUGAUGUUCCUACAGCUCGGGGCCAGGUGGGGCAAGAGCCCAGAAACAGGAGAGCACCUUGCAUUCCCUGGACAAGCUGCGGAGACCUUCUAACAACAGUCCUUCCAAAGGCCGUGGUUCCUCCCUCCUCCCAGACUUGGAAUAAGGAAUACUGGCAUAAUUCUGUUUUUGUUUUUUGUUUGACUCCUUCAGUGCUACUACCUCUGAAAUAUCAAACAUAAAGCUUUUUCCAGAAGGAACUGGCAUUUGCCCUAAGCACAUGAUACUGAUACUGCCUAGGAGGUAAUGUGGAUCCACCCAGAGGAAUUCUGGACGUCUUCAUUUGGAUUCGAUGUUCUAAAGUAUAUCUAUUUACCUGAGCAGAGGGGAAGUCAAGACUUCUGUUAAGCACCACAACUCCAGUGACUCUGCCUGGGGACUGGACAAGAAGCUGAAGCACUCAUCCUUUAUAUUUGUUUACUCAAGUUUUUCAAUGAAAGGCUUUGGCCAUAAAUUCAAAAAACGAAUUCCUUUUAUCCUUCUGCCAUCAUUUUUGUCUAAAUAAAUCUGCGUCUUUAACACUCAAUAAAUGGAUCGCUUCAAUUGAACAAAGCAGAGGUCCUGAUGUUCUAUCCCCUCCCAUGGAAAAGCCAAGGGUAUGCGUCCACAGUCCCAGUUUUCCAGGGACAGAGGCAGGCAGAUCCUGGAGUCUCCCGGGCUAGCCAGACUAGCUAACGACAAGGCUUCACAUUCAGUGUGAGACCUUGUCUCAAAAGUCAGCUGGCGAGGCACUGAAGUAGAUAGAUACCCAGCAUUGGCCUGUAGCCUCCAAAUUCACAUGCUUGGGAGAGUGCACCUGCAUACAGGCAUGCAUGCACACAUACACAUACCACAAGGGCAAGCACAGAAAUAAGUAGAUAAAUAUUGUAGGGAAAGGGGUGUUUUAUUCUAUGAGUUAAAGCAUAUAUACAUCCCUGUAACCCAGAGAGUCCUAUUGAAAAAUAGAACACCCCACCCUCAGGAAACUCCCCACACGACCCAUUAAAAUAAGCUGCCCCGAGAUAAUCACUGCUGUGUCUCAGCUUAAGUUACAGAUUUCUCUUCUAUAUAAAAGAAAUAUAAUCCAACACAUUUUACGUUUUCUUCUGUGUCUGGUGUGUCUCUGAAUGCAAAACAUAAAUUUAUCCAUACUUAUUCAUGACUGCACCUUCAUGGAAGAAUGUGAACCAGUAGAGGUCGUAUCCCAUGGCAUAGAAGGAGUAGCUAACAUCGAAUGUUAGAGCGACAUCACAAACCACAGAUCAAUGUACCAGUUAGUGGAAUCUGGGCUAGUUUCAGUUGGGGCUAUUAUGAAUUACGAUGAUCUCUGUGGACGUGCGUUUUCAUGUCUAAUAAAUUCCUGGAAUUGAAAUUGAAAGGGCAGAGAUGUGUGAGAUGAAUUAUUUUUUUAAAGUUGAGUGUGGUGACACACAUCUGCAAUUCCAGCAGGCAGGAAGCUGACUCUAAAGAAGUGGUCCUCAACCUGUGGGUCACGACCCUCUUUGGGGUUUUCAUAUCAGAUAAUCCUGCAGAUCAGAGAUUUACAUUAUGAUUCACUACGGUAACAAGAUUACAGUUAUGAGGUAGCAAUGAAAUAGUUUGAUGAGUCACAACAACACGAGAACAUAUAUUUAAGGGUUGCAGCAUUUGGAAAGUUGAGAACUAGCCUAGGCUUCAGGAC